CGGGGCCUCGACUUGUCGCCUGAACUCUUCUCUGUUGAAAGCCCCGCCCCCUUGCAAUGUCAUUGAUUUGUCACUGUUUGUUCUCGCCUAUCUCCACCCUCGCAGCCAUCUGAGGGCACGCAGGCGCAUUAAUCUCUGCUCGCCCGAUUCUGGUCCACACUUGCCUGCGGACCAGACACCCCGGUUUCUCCACCGUGGAGGCUGCUCUCGGGGUUCCUCUUAUCCCGCACCUCAAGGAAGUUUUGUGGUGGUGGGUCAGAACUGAUUUUCCUUGUUGUGAAAUUUAAGAGACAGCUCCAGUCCCAGCUAAAGUCGUUCAGUUAGCAUGAUAGCCAGGGCAUGGUGAGCAUCAGAGAGACUUCGGGUCAGCAUUCCGGCGUUCCCCAGGGGCUUCACACCAUUGCAGGCCCGGACUCAUAGGAAUCCUUUGGUUGCAAAGCGCUUUCAUGUCCCUUCUUCUGCGGUCCGUGUGUACAGCCAAGAGGAGACUUCGGGCUAGGGAGUCCACAGCGCUCCCGGCUGCUGUUGCGGGUGAACGUGGGUGCCAGAGGAACCUGGUAGAUAAUGGAAGCUUAGGAAAGCUGGAAUGGCCGCCAUCUAGACGAGAAGGGCAACACUGGGUCACCUGCUCGUCGUGGCGUCCCGGUAGCUCGCCGUGAUCGUAUAGUGUUGCAGGAAGAGUGACACGAGGGGAGGGUGCGCUCCUGCACUUCGGACUAAUGGCCUUUUUGGCAGCUACACAGAAGUCCAGGAGAUGGGCGCAUCUGGCUCUCAACAUUUCAUAACAUCGUCUUUUGAGGUACACCGACAAAAUGGAGUGUCUGGGCUGGCAAAGCCAAGAGCUGGAGGCCCUGGCCUGGAAUGACCUCAUCAAGACCCUGCUGCCCUGGGACACUCUCUCUGAGCAAUCAGUCAGCACCCCCUUCCUGUUGAUCUCUUGCUUUUAAAAUUGUUUUAUGAUUUCUGAUUCUGGGAAUGUAAUCUUUCCUCUUGUCACUUCCAGCUUGAGGUUGGAACUCUUCUCUAGGUCUCAGUGCCAGGAAAGAGGUAGGCAGUAUAAGAGCACCCUGUUCACACAUUCCAGCUCCAGUUGUUCCCAUCUUGGUUGGAUUUGUGAAUUUCUGCAGGUUUCCAACCUCUAAGUCACUUUGACUUUUUUUCCCUUCCAUCUGAGAGACCCUGAGGUACAGUAGUUGACAGUACUAGACUAGUCCUAACUCUAAUUAAGGGGUAACAUAAAUUGGGCUCGGUGGCUCACGCCUGUCAUCCCAGCACUUUGGGAGGGUGAGGUGGAAGGAUUGCUUGAGCGCAGGAGUUCAAGACCAGACUAGACAGUAUAGUGAGACUUUGUCUCUGUUGGGGGAGCUAGCAUAGCUUAGAAAUGAAGCCUCUAGCCCCCGAAAGUAGGCUGCUUAAGAUUUGAAUCCCAACUCAUCCACUUACUAACUGGGUGACCCUGGGGGAUCAACAUGUCUCCAUGCCUCAGUUUCCUCAUUUGUAAAAUGAUUGUAAAAUGAUUUCUCAUUUGUAAAAGGAUUGUUAUGAAGAUUAAAUGAAUGAAUAUUUGUAAAGCAAUAGUGCCUGGCACUUACUAAGGCUUACUGAAGUUUUACUUAAAUAAUACAGUAGAUGGGAAUAUAACAUAAUGAAAUCAACUCCUUAAAAAUGAGCACCCUGGAACAUAAACAUCCAAAUGAGUAUUGUGUUUCAAAUCAGGCAUUCCACUUUCUCCAAACAGCUGCCCAAAAUAUUUUUGGAAUUCUUAUUUGAAGAUUAUUUUCAGGGCUAAUUUAUAAGCCAUAUGAGUACAUCCACCUCAAUAUUUAUAAUCACAUUCUAUUUUGAAAUAACUUUUGACUGCUUUUAAAGCCACCUUCAAAGAGAAAAAUGUCACCACUGAGUCUUUUAAGAUGCAAAAAUGUCAAUGACAAUGCCAGAAAUGUUUUAUAAGUAACAUUCCAGCAAAAGAAAAACAAUUUUUUUUUUUGGUAGGAGUGUGUAGACUUCAAAGGGCAAACCUACAAGGGACAACAGUAAUUUACAAGCUUCAGAUUGUCUGCUUAAACCAUCAACCCCAUGGCUUCCUGGUUAUACUUCCUGGUUAUACCUUGUAUAUCUGGGAGCUGCCAGCCCCCACAGGGGCACAGUGUUGAGCAGCUGCAGUAGCAGCCAUAUGCCCCUGGACCAGCAGGCUCUGGUCCUGUAAGUCUUGUUCAAAAUUCAGAAUCUUGAUCCACAACUCAGAAUUACCCAGUGAAAGUCUUCAUUUUUAACAGAGUCCUCUCCAAGUGAUUCAUCUGCAUAAGAAAGUUUGAGAAGUGCUGCUCCAGCCUAAAGCUCUAAUGGAAUCCUUCAUUGUUCAUCUUGUACUUCUCUCCAUAUCCACAAAAAGAAACUGUGGGGAGACAUGGUGCAGGACUUCAUUGCUGUCAAGAGACCUGAAACUAAUUCCUGAGUCAGGAAGAAUGCAGGAGCUGCCUUGCAGAAGCAAAAGUCUAAAUCAAUGGCUUCCAAACAUUUUAGAACUGAUAAACUAGGACAAACUUUUCACCAUUGAAUGAAAAAAUGAGGUCAAUGUGGUAAGCUUUUGAAAUGCUAAAUACAUUUAUUUCAAAGGACUGUCCUCUAGGUUGAGACAAUGCCCUUCUUAUUUUUGAGGUAUUAAAGUGACUUUUAUAAAACUAUGGAGAAAGUAGGUGAUUGUUUGUUUGUUUUUUAGAUGGAGUCUUGCUCUUGGCUCACUGCAACCUCUGC